UACGAAGGGUGCAAGCGUUAAUCGGAAUUACUGGGCGUAAAGCGUGCGUAGGCGGUUAUUUAAGUCUGUUGUGAAAUCCCCGGGCUCAACCUGGGAAUGGCAAUGGAUACUGGAUAGCUAGAGUGUGAUAGAGGAUGGUGGAAUUCCCGGUGUAGCGGUGAAAUGCGUAGAGAUCGGGAGGAACAUCAGUGGCGAAGGCGGCCAUCUGGAUCAACACUGACGCUGAGGCACGAAAGCGUGGGGAGCGAACAGG
rnacentral:rRNA from 1 species